rnacentral:lncRNA from 1 species
CACUAAAUAAAAAUAUUUAACUUAACUAAUCAGAGAAUAUUUUUUUGUUUAGAGAUAGAUAGUACGCUACCAACUUCGUUUAUUUUAUUUAGAAAUAAACUUAACUGAAAAUGUAAAUCAAAUAGGAUUAGAACUUGGGACCUCGGAUACCAACAACCAAGCUCUUUACCACUUGCUUUAGGAACGGUCGGUAACUAAUUAGAAUUAUUAAAUUCAAAGUACUAUAUAUAAAGUUAAAUGAUGUUAAGUGAAAAAUAUUUUGGACUUUUUUGGUAUUUAGACCCGUCUAAUUUAUUAGAUAAAAUAAAGUUAGGACGAAAAUAUAUAGAAAUAUACUUUUGUAUCUUCGUAAUCGACUUAUUGUGAUAUACGUAAUGUGACAUUACGUAGGAAAUAAACAAAAUAUUUUUUAUCGUAUUUUUCUUCUUCCGUUUUUUUUGAGAGAUAGGUAGCACGCUAUCCGCUUCGUUUAUUUCAUUUAGAAAUAAACUUAGCUUGAAAUAUGAAUCAACUAGGAUUCAAACUUGGGUCUCGGAUAUCAACCAUCAAGACAUUUGCCACUUGCUCUAGAGACGGUCAGUUUUUUAUCGUAUUUUUCUAUCUUAUGUAAUGUAAUGUAAUUUUUCUAUAAUUUUAAACGAAGC